GCUGGGCACAGUGGCGCACACCUGUAAUCCCAGUGGUUUGGGAGGCUGAGGCAGGAGGAUCCUGAGUUCAAAGCCAGCCUUAGCAAAAGUGAGGUGCUAAGCAACUCAGAGAGACCCUGUCUCUA
rnacentral:sRNA from 1 species